AGUGUCAAACUAUCGAGAGCCUCUUCCAUUGCCCUCUGCCCCCAUCAACUUGCUUCAGGAUCGAUGAAAUGGGAAUCAAAUCAGGACAUCUGCUGGUAUCGGGAGGGCUUAAAGAACUGGAAGUUUCACUGACUGGCUCAUCAUCAGAGAGGCUAACGUGCUGUGGAAUUGGAUAUUUGGGAGCUGAUGCAAAGGUCAUUGCAAAGGUUUAAAACAAACGUUUGCAGCAAAACGAUCCCUUCUGCACACAGGUUCUUGCUCCCUCUUGGUCUUGAACGCAUUGACCCAACAGGGAAGAAAGAACAAAACAUAUCAAGGAGAAAUCAGGAAAACAGCCAUUUAGUUCAACUAACCCUUGUAGAUGCACUGCAGGCACAUCUAAAUUACCCCAAUUCAGCAGAGCAACGGCCCAUCUCAUCUGACAUCUGAUCUCGCAGUCACCUGAGACUUUUGAUGGCUGCUUCAGAGUCAAGUGCAAAACUCCCAGGUAGCCAUUGCGGGAAAAACAAACCAAGACCAAAAAAACCCAACGCUACCAGCAAAAUUCAUUUUGUUUCUGCUCAGACAUUGGAUGGAAGGACUAAAUUACCAAGCACAGGCACACAUUAUACAGACAGUGAUUAUCCGUGGCCAGUGUUUACAGCGUCUCAUGGAAAGGAUGGAUGUAGAGAGUCGAGCCUAUACAAUGUGGUUUUGAUCAAGGGUGUUUACAGGAAAGGUGGAACGCUUCUCCUUACUUUUCUCUGUCCCACAGUUCUGCAUUCACCUGUACCCCAGGUACUUUUUAACCAGUCUCUCCUCUUGAGUCAAGUUCUAUCCUCACUAAUUAUAUAACACACGGGCCAUCACACAGAGCAUGAUAUGCUUAGAGUGUCGAAGGGACUCACUCACUUGUUAUUGUUAAGCUUAAUAUUAGCACCUUUGACUUCCCAGUGAAAUAUUUUGGGGCAUGUCUCAAAACUGGUGCAUGACAAUAGGCAAAUCACUUAGGGCCAGAUGUGCAAAAGUAUUUAGGCACCUUGAGAUGCAGAUGGUAGAAUUUAUAAAAGCGCCUACGCAGGUUAGGUGCUUAACUCCCAUUGAAAGUCGAUGAGAGUUUGGUGUCUAACAAACACCCUUCAAAUGUUUUUGCCCAAGCAGAAUUGUGUCCAAAUGUCCAUUUUGGAACCUGUGGGGUGGUUAGGACACUCACCUGGGAUGUGGCAGACCCACAUUCAACUCCAUGCUCUGCCUGAUUCAGAGAAAGUUUUUAAUCGCAGAUCACACUCAUUCAGGCAGACCAGGGACAUGAACCUGGGUUUUCCCCAUCAUUAGCAGUGUCCAAGCCACCAGGAUACAGGAGGGGAGUCUGAGCUCUCCUUGAAACGGAUAUGUAUCCACAAAACACUGGUGAAAUUUCAUUUUGCCAAAAAUAUUCCAACCAGCUUUAGUCUCACUAUCAGUUAGGGCUUCUAGGCUUUAAUGUAAUACUUCUACUAAUAAAUAACAGUAACAAACAGCA
rnacentral:lncRNA from 1 species